rnacentral:tRNA from 1 species
GCGGGCGUCGUAUACUGGUAUUAUAUCUCCUUGCCAUGGAGAAGAAGGGAGUUCGAUUCUCCUCGCCCGCU